rnacentral:tRNA from 1 species
UUUCCCUAUUAAAAAGAGAAAGUAGUUGAGCUGCUAACUUGACUGAUAGCGUUGUUGUUAUUC